AGAGAGAAGCUGUCGCAUGCGUUUUAGUUCGGGAGAGCUGAUUCGACGUGAAGCGCAGUAGCAGCAGGGGGGCCUUGGCUCAAAUAAAAUCCAUACAUUUCUAGCCAUGAAUGGAUAUCCAUAUAAAAAGGAUAUGGAAGAACCUGAAGUCGUAUUGCGAUCGGAUACGUAACAUCCA